UACGAAGGGGGCUAGCGUUGUUCGGAAUUACUGGGCGUAAAGCGCACGUAGGCGGAUACUUAAGUCAGGGGUGAAAUCCCGGGGCUCAACCCCGGAACUGCCUUUGAUACUGGGUAUCUCGAGUCCGAGAGAGGUGAGUGGAAUUCCGAGUGUAGAGGUGAAAUUCGUAGAUAUUCGCAAGAACACCAGUGGCGAAGGCGGCUCACUGGCCCGAUACUGACGCUGAGGUGCGAAAGCGUGGGGAUCAAACAGG
rnacentral:rRNA from 1 species